GUCUGAUACGGCUGGUAUAGUGGUCUGAUACGGCUGGUAUAGUGGUCUCACCAUAUGGCUGGUAUAGUGGUCUGAUACGGCUGGUAUAGUGGUCUGAUACGGCUGGUAUAGUGGUCUGAUACGGCUGGUAUAGUGGUCUCACCAUACGGCUGGUAUAGAGGUCUGAUACAGCUGGUAUUGAGGUCUGAUACGGCUGGUAUAGUGGUCUGAUACGGCUGGUAUAGUGGUCUGAUACGGCUGGUAUAGUGGUCUGAUACGGCUGGUAUAGUGGUCUGAUACGGCUGGUAUAGUGGUCUCACCAUACGGCUGGUAUAGUGGUCUGAUACGGCUGGUAUAGUGGUCUGAUACGGCUGGUAUAGUGGUCUGAUACGGCUGGUAUAGUGGUCUGAUACGGCUGGUAUAGUGG
ensembl:lncRNA